GUGAACGCUGGCGGUAGGCCUAACACAUGCAAGUCGAACGGCAGCACAGUAAGAGCUUGCUCUUACGGGUGGCGAGUGGCGGACGGGUGAGGAAUACAUCGGAAUCUACUUUUUCGUGGGGGAUAACGUAGGGAAACUUACGCUAAUACCGCAUACGACCUACGGGUGAAAGCAGGGGAUCUUCGGACCUCGCGCGAUUGAAUGAGCCGAUGUCGGAUUAGCUAGUUGGCGGGGUAAAGGCCCACCAAGGCGACGAUCCGUAGCUGGUCUGAGAGGAUGAUCAGCCACACUGGAACUGAGACACGGUCCAGACUCCUACGGGAGGCAGCAGUGGGGAAUAUUGGACAAUGGGCGCAAGCCUGAUCCAGCCAUACCGCGUGGGUGAAGAAGGCCUUCGGGUUGUAAAGCCCUUUUGUUGGGAAAGAAAAGCAGCAGGUUAAUACCCCGCUGUUCUGACGGUACCCAAAGAAUAAGCACCGGCUAACUUCGUG
rnacentral:rRNA from 1 species